ACAUGGUAACGGUUGCCAAACAAACAACUGUGCAUUUUUAGUGGCAGGAGAAGAAAAGCCAUAACUAUUAUAUAUAGCUGUACACAGGCUCGAUCUCAGAAACGCAUGCAUAGGUUUUCCUCUGACGAAUGCAUUUCGGCUAUUCAAUGCACCUCCUGGCUUCCACGCUUUUUUCUUUUGCACUGAUAUAUGGCCGAGGAGAACCAAGUGAUGUUACGGACGUCCAAUUUUACAAGAACACGUGUAAGUAUGGCAACAAAUUUUUUGUGGAUGUGAACUACCCUGAGCAACAGUGCAAAAGAGUCACCUGCAAAGCACACGACAGAGUUCUUUCUGUCGAACGGUGCCUGCAAACAACGGUGCGUGAUCCAUCAUGUCACCUCGUAACAGG
rnacentral:lncRNA from 1 species